rnacentral:rRNA from 1 species
UACGAAGGGGGCUAGCGUUGUUCGGAAUUACUGGGCGUAAAGCGCACGUAGGCGGAUAUUUAAGUCAGGGGUGAAAUCCUGGAGCUCAACUCCAGAACUGCCUUUGAUACUGAGGAUCUUGAGUUCGGGAGAGGUGAGUGGAACUGCGAGUGUAGAGGUGAAAUUCGUAGAUAUUCGCAAGAACACCAGUGGCGAAGGCGGCUCACUGGCCCGAUACUGACGCUGAGGCACGAAAGCGUGGGGAGCAAACAGGG